rnacentral:sRNA from 1 species
CACAUGAUAUUAUCUUCGCGCCACUUUCGCAAAAACCCUUUUUUUUUACUCCAGGUUUUGCUCCAGCUCAAAGGUACUGUUCUUAUCUUGCUUUAAUACAACGCUUCUUAAAGUCGGGUCUAAGUUCUCUUCCCUCCCCCUCCUCUUCUUUCCACUGCUAGUCGUUACCAUUAAAGGUCGAAAGUUGCAUUGCAGUCGGUGCAAUCUCACAGGAGGGAUCUGGUUGGGUAGUAAACUUCGGGCUGCGUAGUUUCCAGAAAGUAUCACGCAGACGUGCCAGGGUAGGCUGCAAGGUCUGUUGCAUGAAAAAGGGGAGGAAGCCCACCUGUGCGAGUGACUCGCGUUGGAGAAAUGAUUGUGGUUUUCGUUGCAUCCACCGCUGACUCCUGAGGGGCGCUGGCAGUUCAGGUUGGACUCUUUCGCGGGCCAGGGGCGGGAGAGGCCAGUCUUUUGUAAUGUUUGCCUGAGCUACUACUGUGCACCAGUGAACCAGGUUGAGAAUCACAUGGCGCCCUUGUCCUCUUCUGGGCUUUGGGCUGCCACAAUCACCCUGGUAACAAUGGUGGAAAGGGAGGGGUCCGGCUUCAUUUUGCACCCCUUCCCUCCUUCCUUACCCCCCGCUUGCCUUCCAGGGCUUUCCUCCUCCGACCCAGCGUGCUCACUGGUCUCUGAUUUGUAACCUCGUACCCUGCACACCCCCGCCCACCCCCCCACCCCCCGCACGCUCCCCAAAUCCCAUCUUGCGCCUGUGUCCGCCAGGGACGCGGAGAAGGUAUAUAGCCCGGUUGUCUCUCAUUUUGCCCGGUGUUCAAAGUCUGGUAUGCUUAAUUCCAUUUUGAUUGUGCGUCUUAAACUAAGACAUCAUUUUAUUCUACAGAGCGCUGUCGGGCUUUGGCCUUGAAGCAGCCCGCCCUCAAUUGGUUCUCAUUAGCGGUGGAAUGAGAGGAGAAAGCAAGAUAAUUGCACCGUAUCUUCCGCACAUUUGCGCGUGUAUUCGGUGGCUGCUACCGUUAACGAUACCUGCCAAGAAACCCUGAUUUAGUGGGUGAAGAGGGCGCCUGGCAAGGGCGAAAGCCUCCCAACAGUAGCACAAGGUGCUAGGGGUUAAAACUUUCACAUGUGCAGAGAGUAAGUCGUGUUUCUAUUUCUUCCCUCCUCGGGCCUUAGGAACACUUUCAAUCUAGCGGCGAGGUGGCGCGCAUGCGCGCGCCGGGUGGGGGACACCCCUGUCCCACGGCUCCGUGGGCCUCGUCGUCUGUCUCCGGUGGGGGGCUGAGGCGAGCGCCGCGGGAGCGAGAUGGGACAAGGUGGUAGUGAGUGCGCCAUCCUGGCCCGGAUGCCGGUGGCACCCGCACCGGCUCCGGCCACGGCCUCUGCCUGGGCCGCUGUCCCAGGCGCGCCUUUAAUUAAGGACUCCAGCUUGGGGGAAGAGAGAAGGGAAAAUGCCGACUGCGCUCCGCCCGUGGGUAACUGGGGCUCGGUGGGGUUUUCGCUUUGGCGGGGUGGGGGUUCCGUUUCCUAAUUCCUGUGCGGGCCGGGUGGGCGGGGGCGGGCUUUUUUCCUUGGGCUAUUAAAGGCAGAGGGGCGGGCUUUUCCCAGGGAUAUAGCUACGGACAGAGGGCCAAGGGGACGGAGCGCUCCUCAAGUGGUGGCAGGGAGGCUCGUGGCCCCGCGUCGCUCUGGACAGGGGCGCUUUGGGGUGAGAUGUGCGCUCGCGGCCUUGUGGACGCUUUUUCUCACUUCUCUUCCCCCUCUGGCUCCGCGGGAGACUGCGCUCGCACCCGGCCCCGGAGCGCUCGAGCUGCGCGCUGGGACACUGGGUAUACGUGUGGAGGGGACACCCGGAGAGGGCGGCCCGUGCGGGAUCCCCGCGCUCUCCACCUGCGAGGGGCGGGCCGGAGCUGGGUCCCGCGCGCGGUUUCCCGAGCGGGUGGCUGGGCAAGAAGGGAGCCCUUCGUUGGGGCAGCUGUGAUCCGGUAGAGUUGACUGGUUGGGUGGGAGGGGACGGAGCGGGCGGGACUUGAGAAAAGCAAAGUACCAGAGUGCGGUUGAGGGGUAGCGGGCAGCGCGCGGGAAACGACUCCCCUUUUCUUCUCCACCGUUGACCUUUAGGUUCCUGGAAAACUUUGGUGGUGAGGGUGUGAAAUGAGGGGGUGCACGUGGAGGGAAAAAAGGGACUCCCCUCCCUCUUGGCUUCUAUCCCACCAACCCGGGAAUGGAGGGGGAGGGAGGCGUGGGCUUGGCGCGUUUUUGGUGCUUUGAAUGGAGAACUCCGUUUCCCAUGAUGCUUUGUUUCUUUCUCUUUAAUUUCGGCGGCGGCUGAGGCUGCACGAGGACUGGAGCGCGUGGUGUGAGCAGCUGGAGCACACCCUGGACGCGCGGGCUGCUCGCGGACUUCAACGGGAGCAUUAGGUGAGUCUGCAUGGAUCUGUGAGGACGGAAAAGAAGAGCUCCUGGAAGACUUAAAAUUUUGCUACAGGAAUAGGCCUUGGCCAUGUAAAAGUGCUUACAGUGCAGGUAGCUUUUUGAGAUCUACUGCAAUGCAAGCACUUCUUACAUUACCAUGGUGAUUUAGUCAAUGGCUACUGAGAACUGUAGUUUGUGCAUAAUUAAGUAGUUGAUGCUUUUGAGCUGCUUCUUAUAAUGUGUCUCUUGUGUUAAGGUGCAUCUAGUGCAGUUAGUGAAGCAGCUUAGAAUCUACUGCCCUAAAUGCCCCUUCUGGCACAGGCUGCCUAAUAUACAGCAUUUUAAAAGUAUGCCUUGAGUAGUAAUUUGAAUAGGACACAUUUCAAUGGUUUGUUUUUUGCCUUUUUAUUGUUUGUUGGGAACAGAUGGUGGGGACUGUGCAGUGUACAGUUGUGUACAGAGGAUAAGAUUGGGUCCUAGUAGUACCAAAGUGCUCAUAGUGCAGGUAGUUUUGGCAUGACUCUACUGUAGUAUGGGCACUUCCAGUACUCUUGGAUAACAAAUCUCUUGUUGAUGGAGAGAAUAUUCAAAGACAUUGCUACUUACAAUUAGUUUUGCAGGUUUGCAUUUCAGCGUAUAUAUGUAUAUGUGGCUGUGCAAAUCCAUGCAAAACUGAUUGUGAUAAUGUGUGCUUCCUACGUCUGUGUGAACACACCUUCAUGCGUAUCUCCAGCACUCAUGCCCAUUCAUCCCUGGGUGGGGAUUUGUUGCAUUACUUGUGUUCUAUAUAAAGUAUUGCACUUGUCCCGGCCUGUGGAAGAAAGGAGGAUUUUUAUCGUCUUCUUAUUUUAACUUUUAAAAGCCGUAAGUUCUGAUAUUUAGUCAUUGUAAAAUGAUCUGUUUUGCUGUUGUCGGGUGGAUCACGAUGCAAUUUUGAUGAGUAUCAUAGGAGAAAAAUUGCACGGUAUCCAUCUGUAAACCGCAGGACCUUUGUUGGCGACAUUCCUGAUCAGCGCUACAGUAAGCUAGAUGGUAAAAAAUCCUUUCUCUAGUUGCUGCUAUUAAAAAAUAAUUUGAAAUAUAUUUGGAUUUCUAAAAACUAUGAUAGCUAAUUUAUAAAGUAUGUGUUUUGGAACUUUGGUGAAUGAUCAGAUUGUUACUGAAUGUGAGUGAACCUCAAAAUAAAUGAAAUUUAUAGAUCUGAAAAAAUGACUCUUUUUUUAAAAAAAAAAAUAAUUAGCAAUGCUAGAGGAGUUUGUAAAAUAUCUCUUGGGAGGAUCCUAAAGGAAAACUUGGACAUAGCUGCUUUUCAAGUUUGCAUCUACAUAAAGCACCAAGAUGCCUAAUUUUAGGAAUUUUAUUACCCUGACAAUAUUUGGAUGACAUGUACUAAUUUUGUUUUAGUACACGUGCUCAUUCUUAGGAAGGGAAUGAAGAGUUGUAAACCA